UACGGGGGGGGCAAGCGUUGUUCGGAAUUACUGGGCGUAAAGGGCUCGUAGGCGGCCAACUAAGUCGGAUGUGAAAUCCCCAGGCUUAACCUGGGAACUGCAUCCGAUACUGGAUGGCUUGAAUCCGGGAGAGGGAUGCGGAAUUCCAGGUGUAGCAGUGAAAUGCGUAGAUAUCUGGAGGAACACCAGAAGCGAAGGCGGCUCACUGGCCCAAUACUGACGCUGAGGCGCGAAAGCGUGGGGAGCAAACAGG
rnacentral:rRNA from 1 species